rnacentral:tRNA from 1 species
CGGGGCGUAGCGCAGUCUGGUUAGCGCGCUUGGUUCGGGACCAAGAGGUCGGAAGUUCGAAUCUUCUCGCCCCGA